rnacentral:rRNA from 1 species
CGGACGGGUGAGUAACACGUGGAUAGCCUACCUAUAAGACUGGGAUAACUUCGGGAAACCGGAGCUAAUACCGGAUAAUAUAUUGAACCGCAUGGUUCAAUAGUGAAAGACGGUUUUGCUGUCACUUAUAGAUGGAUCCGCGCCGCAUUAGCUAGUUGGUAAGGUAACGGCUUACCAAGGCAACGAUGCGUAGCCGACCUGAGAGGGUGAUCGACCACACUGGAACUGAGACACGGUCCAG